GUUCUCGUAGUUGAAACACAACGGUGAUUUUUCAUGUCAUUGGUCGUGGGUACCAUCCAUGCGAGAAUA
rnacentral:tRNA from 1 species